rnacentral:rRNA from 1 species
AUACGGAGGGGGUUAGCGUUGUUCGGAAUUACUGGGCGUAAAGCGUACGUAGGCGGAUUGGAAAGUUGGGGUGAAAUCCCGGGGCUCAACCCCGGAACUGCCUCCAAAACUUCCAAUCUAGAGAUCGAGAGAGGUGAGUGGAAUUCCAAGUGUAGAGGUGAAAUUCGUAGAUAUUUGGAGGAACACCAGUGGCGAAGGCGGCUCACUGGCUCGAUACUGACGCUGAGGUACGAAAGCGUGGGGAGCAAACAGGAUUAGAAACCCUAGUAGUCC